CGGUGCGAGGCAGCGGGCUGGGGGACACAGGCUGCGGGUGAGAGGAGGGAUCCCGGCAGCGGGGGAGGCAGGCGGUGCGAGGCAGCAGGCCGGGGGACACAGGCUGCGGGUGAGAGGAGGGAUCCCGGCAGCAGGGGAGGCAGGCGGUGCGAGGCACCAGGCCGGGGGACACAGGCUGCGGGCGAGGGGAGGGAUCCCGGCAGCGGGGGAGACGGGCGGUGCGAGGCACCAGGCCGGGGGACACAGGCUGUGGGCAAGAGGAGGGAUCCCGGCAGCGGGGGAGACGGGUGGUGCGAGGCAGCAGGCCGGGGGACAGCAGCAGGCUGCGGGCGAGAGGACGGAGCGCGGCAGCGGGGGGUGUCAGGCUGUGGGUGAGGGAUCCUGGC